UACAGAGGUCCCAAGCGUUGUUCGGAUUCACUGGGCGUAAAGGGUGCGUAGGUGGCGAAGUAAGUCGGAUGUGAAAUCUCCGAGCUCAACUCGGAAACUGCAUUGGAAACUACUUUGCUUGAGGGUUGGAGGGGGGACUGGAAUACUUGGUGUAGCAGUGAAAUGCGUAGAUAUCAAGUGGAACACCAGUGGCGAAGGCGAGUCCCUGGACAACUCCUGACACUGAGGCACGAAAGCUAGGGGAGCAAACAGG
rnacentral:rRNA from 1 species